rnacentral:snoRNA from 1 species
GCCUAGGGUCAGUAAGUGAAUUCAACCUCAGAUGCUUACUACACCCUGGGCAAAUCACUUAACUUCUGUUUCCCUCAGCUUACUUAACUGUGAAAUGGGGAUAAUAGUACCUAUCACCCAGGGUUGUUGUGAGGAUCAAAU